AGGUGUGAGUUAGGAAGGCCCCGGGGUUGUCUAACACUUUGCCUGUGCAGGUGUGAGUUAGGAAGGCCCCGGGUUGUCUAAAACUCUGCCUGCGCAGGUUUGAGUUAGGAAGGCCCCGGGUUGUCUAAAACUCUGCCUGCGCAGGUGUUAGUUAGGAAGGGCCCAGGGUUGUCUAACACUUUGCCUUCACAGAUGUGAGUUAGGAAGGCCCCGGGUUGUCUAAAACUUUGCCUGUGCAGUUGUGAGUUAGGAAGGGCCCACGGAUCUCUAACAUUCUGCCUGCACAGGUGUGAGUUAGGAAGGCCCCGGGUUGUCUAACACUUUGCCUGCACAGGUGUGAGUUAGGAAGGCCCCGGUUGUCUAACACUUUGCCUGAACAGGUGUGAGUUAGGAAGGCCCCG